GUGGGGAAUAUUCCGCAAUGGACGAAAGUCUGACGGAGCAACGCCGCGUGAGUGAUGAAGGUUUUCGGACUGUAAAGCUCUGUUGUUUAGGACGAAAGUGCCUGUUGCAAACAGUUACAGGUAUUGACGGUACUAAACGAGGAAGCCACGGCUAACUACGUGCCAGCAGCCGCGGUAAUACGUAGGUGGCAAGCGUUGUCCGGAAUUAUUGGGCGUAAAGAGCAUGUAGGCGGGAAUCUAAGUCUGUUGUGAAAAUGCGGGGCUCAACCCCGUAUUGCGAUGGAAACUGGGUGUCUUGAGUGCAGGAGAGGAAAGGGGAAUUCCCAGUGUAGCGGUGAAAUGCGUAGAUAUUGGGAGGAACACCAGUGGCGAAGGCGCCUUUCUGGACUGUGUCUGACGCUGAGAUGCGAAAGCCAGGGUAGCGAACGGGAUUAGAUACCCCUGUAGUCC
rnacentral:rRNA from 1 species